GAGCCUCUUUCUACAGUUCUAUCUGCUCUGACUCUCCUCGUGCAGUUCAAUGGAUGGCUAUCGUUUUUCCUCUUGCUUUCUUACAAGUUGCCUCUUAGGCCAGAAACGUACGCGACAUACUACGAAUACACCGGAUUAUGACACAUGAAUGCGCUCUUGGCCAUGAAUUUGUGGUUCUAGUGUGCCAUAUGGACGGCUUCCUCCUCGGUACCCGCUCCUCACCUCUCCCUAUUGUUUCUUGCACCCUAUUGUUUCUAA
rnacentral:rRNA from 1 species